rnacentral:misc_RNA from 1 species
UCUCCGUAGGUGAACCUGCGGAGGGAUCAUUACAGAGUUCAUGCCCUACCGGGUAGAUCUCCCACCCUAUGUUAUUAUUACUUUGUUGCUUUGGCGGGCCGUUAGGCUCCGGCCCGACUACCGGCCCCGGCUGGUAAGCGCCCGCCAGAGGACCCAAAACCCUGAAUAUUAGUGUCGUCUGAGUACUAUAUAAUAGUUAAAACUUUCAACAACGGAUCCCUUGGUUCUG